rnacentral:rRNA from 1 species
UACGUAGGGUGCGAGCGUUGUCCGGAAUUAUUGGGCGUAAAGGGCUCGUAGGCGGUCUGUUGCGUCGGGAGUGAAAACUCAGGGCUUAACCCUGAGCCUGCUUCCGAUACGGGCAGACUAGAGGUAUGCAGGGGAGAACGGAAUUCCUGGUGUAGCGGUGAAAUGCGCAGAUAUCAGGAGGAACACCGGUGGCGAAGGCGGUUCUCUGGGCAUUACCUGACGCUGAGGCGCGAAAGCUAGGGGAGCGAACAGG